AAUCUGUUAUGAUAGAGGAGAAUUAUUUUUGUUCGGUACGAAGGUCUCGAUUACUUCUUGACCGCUUCAAGACUUGAGCAAGGAUAGUAACACAAUGUGUGCAAGUGCGCACGAGGAGGAAACAAACAUGGAACAAGGUAAAGUAAAAUGGUUUAACGCAGAAAAAGGUUUUGGAUUCAUCGAGCGUGAAGAUGGCGACGACGUAUUCGUACACUUCUCAGCAAUCCAAGGCGAAGGCUUCAAAACUCUUGAAGAAGGCCAGGACGUAUCUUUCGAAAUCGAGCAAGGUCAACGCGGUCUACAAGCUACAAACGUUACAAAAAACUAAUUUGACUUUUGAAAUCCACUUCCUUCGGGGAGUGGAUUUUUU
rnacentral:other from 1 species